rnacentral:snRNA from 1 species
GUGCUCGCUUCAGCAGCACAUAUACUAAAAUUGGAAAGAUACAGAGAAGAUUAGCAUGGCCCCUGCACAAGGAUGACAUGCAAAUUUGUGAAGUAUUCCAUAUUUUU